CUCUGUUACUGUGUCACUAUACCACACUCCCUCUAGCAUGUAAACUCACUGAGCAGGUCCUCAAUCCCUCUGUUACUGUGUCACUAUACCCCACUCCCUCUAACAUGUAAACUCACUGAGCAGGUCCUCAAUCCCUCUGUUACUGUGUCACUAUACCCCACUCCCUCUAACAUGUAAACUCACUGAGCAGGGCCCUCAAUCCCUCUGUUACUGUGUCACUAUACCCCACUCCCUCUAACAUGUAAACUCACUGAGCAGGCCCUCAAUCCCUCUGUUACUGUGUCACUAUACCCCACUCCCUCUAACAUGUAAACUCACUGAGCAGGUCCCUCAAUCCCUCUGUUACUGUGUCACUAUACCCCACUCCCUCUAAC